UACGAAGGGGGCUAGCGUUGCUCGGAAUGACUGGGCGUAAAGGGCGCGUAGGCGGUUUGGACAGUCAGGCGUGAAAUUCCUGGGCUUAACCUGGGGGCUGCGCUUGAUACAUCCAGACUUGAGUGGGGAAGAGGGUCGUGGAAUUCCCAGUGUAGAGGUGAAAUUCGUAGAUAUUGGGAAGAACACCGGUGGCGAAGGCGGCGCUCUGGACCGAUACUGACGCUGAGGCGCGAAAGCGUGGGGAGCAAACAGG
rnacentral:rRNA from 1 species